rnacentral:piRNA from 1 species
UGUCAGUUACAUUCCUGCAAAGGAGUUCUCA